AAAAUUAGAAAAAAUUAGAAAAACUUAGGAAAAAUCAAAAAAAAUCAGAAAAAAUCAGAAAAAAACGGAAAAAAUCAGGAAGAAUCAAAAAAAAAAUUGGGAAUGAAUGUGGGAUGGUUUAACUUCAGUUGCAUAUCAUGAAACGCAUCCAGGAACAGAGGAAGAUGCGUCGAUUGAAAAAUCAAAGAAAAAAGCGAAAAAACAAGGAAAAAUUAGGGAACGAUUCUGGUAUGAUGCAGCUGGGUCGCAUUUGUUGGCAUUUUGAUGGUCCCGCUCGUUCACCCUGACGUCUGGGGCUCUACGCGCAAAUGACGUUUGCAGGUAACCCCCCAGAUCAGAGAAAAUUGAGAGAAUUCAUUCAAUGUACAAUUUCUAACGCUUGACAUGUGCAAAGUGCAGCGCACUCUACUCUCCUCCUUGAAUCUCGAAACAUUCUCCAAAAGGUCGUACAGAAAGCCACAAGUUCGAAUCUGGCUUGCUCGGAGCCCCACAGGUUACCUGCAUCUCGGAGCCCUUAGUACAGCUCUGUGCAACUAUUCAUAGGCUCAGGCAAACCAAGGAAUUCUUAUUCUACCCUUAGAAGACGUGGAUCAAACAGAACUUGUACCAAAUGCUGCCGGUAAACUCCAAGAGCCUUUAUUCUGGGCUCGCAUCAUUCCAGACAAACUAACGAUGUACUCGUGAUUAUAUUUAAUUAAAUACAUCGGGUAUUAUUGCGAACAAUCCAAUUAAUAAUUUUAUGUCAAGCAAAAUGAAAGCAUUGCUCAUAACAUUGUAAAGCAAUAGUCAUAGGAAUUAAUUUAUACAUAUUUGGAGAUGAACCUACCCAUAAUAUACGUACAUUAUGAUGUCCCGAUACAUGAUUUCUUCUAAUUUAUUUAUUAAUAAACAUAUACUAUCAAAA